rnacentral:rRNA from 1 species
CCGUGCCAGCAGCCGCGGUAAUACGGAGGGUGCGAGCGUUAAUCGGAAUUACUGGGCGUAAAGCGUACGCAGGCGGUUUGUUAAGCGAGAUGUGAAAGCCCCGGGCUCAACCUGGGAACUGCAUUUCGAACUGGCAAACUAGAGUGUGAUAGAGGGUGGUAGAAUUUCAGGUGUAGCGGUGAAAUGCGUAGAGAUCUGAAGGAAUACCGAUGGCGAAGGCAGCCACCUGGGUCAACACUGACGCUCAUGUACGAAAGCGUGGGGAGCAAACGGGAUUAGAUACCCCGGUAGUCCACGCCGUAAACGAUGUCUACUAGAAGCUCGGAACCUCGGUUCUGUUUUUCAAAGCUAACGCAUUAAGUAGACCGCCUGGGGAGUACGGCCGCAAGGUUAAAACUCAAAUGAAUUUGACGGGG